rnacentral:tRNA from 2 species
GAGCCAGUAGCUCAGCUGGAUAGAGUUUUAGAUUGCGGAUCUAAAGGUCGGAGGUUCGAAUCCUCUCUGGCUCA